UACGAAGGGGGCGAGCGUUGUUCGGAUUUACUGGGCGUAAAGCGCACGUAGGCGGAUCGUUAAGUCGGGGGUGAAAUCCUGGAGCUCAACUCCAGAACUGCCUUCGAUACUGGCGAUCUUGAGUCCGGAAGAGGUGAGUGGAAUUCCUAGUGUAGAGGUGGAAUUCGUAGAUAUUAGGAAGAACACCAGUGGCGAAGGCGGCUCACUGGUCCGGUACUGACGCUGAGGUGCGAAAGCGUGGGGAGCAAACAGG
rnacentral:rRNA from 1 species